GAUGAACGCUGGCGGCGUGCCUAAUACAUGCAAGUCGAGCGAACAGACGAGGAGCUUGCUCCUCUGACGUUAGCGGCGGACGGGUGAGUAACACGUGGAUAACCUACCUAUAAGACUGGGAUAACUUCGGGAAACCGGAGCUAAUACCGGAUAAUAUAUUGAACCGCAUGGUUCAAUAGUGAAAGACGGUUUUGCUGUCACUUAUAGAUGGAUCCGCGCCGCAUUAGCUAGUUGGUAAGGUAACGGCUUACCAAGGCGACGAUGCGUAGCCGACCUGAGAGGGUGAGCGGCCUCACUGGAACUGAGACACGGUCCAGACUCCUACGGGAGGCAGCAGAAGGGAAUCUUCCGCAAUGGGCGAAAGCCUGACGGAGCAACGCCGCGUGAGUGAUGAAGGUCUUCGGAUCGUAAAACUCUGUUAUUAGGGAAGAACAAAUGUGUAAGUAACUAUGCACGUCUUGACGGUACCUAAUCAGAAAGCCACGGCUAACUACGUG
rnacentral:rRNA from 1 species